GAUGAACGCUGGCGGCGUGCCUAAUACAUGCAAGUCGAGCGAACAGACGAGGAGCUUGCUCCUCUGACGUUAGCGGCGGACGGGUGAGUAACACGUGGAUAACCUUCCUAUAAGACUGGGAUAACUUCGGGAAACCGGAGCUAAUACCGGAUAAUAUAUUGAACCGCAUGGUUCAAUAGUGAAAGACGGCUUUGCUGUCACUUAUAGAUGGAUCCGCGCCGCAUUAGCUAGUUGGUAAGGUAACGGCUUACCAAGGCAACGAUGCGUAGCCGACCUGAGAGGAUGAUCAGCCACACUGGAACUGAGACACGGUCCAGACUCCUACGGGAGGCAGCAGUAGGGAAUCUUCCGCAAUGGGCGAAAGCCUGACGGAGCAACGCCGCGUGAGUGAUGAAGGUCUUCGGAUCGUAAAGCUCUUUUAUUAGGGAAGAACAAAUGUGUAAGUAACUAUGCACGUCUUGACGGUACCUAAUCAGAAAGCCACGGCUAACUACGUG
rnacentral:rRNA from 1 species